rnacentral:lncRNA from 1 species
AUUGGGGGUUGCGUCCUCAACGUCAUCAGCGCUUACGCGCCGCAAGCGGGCUUAGACGAGGAGGCUAAGAGGCAUUUUUGGGAGGACUUGGAUGAUCUGGUGAGUAGUAUUCCCCAAUCUGAGAAGUUAGUUAUUUGAGGGGACUUUAAUGGUCAUAUCGGGGCUGAUGCUGGUGGCUAUGAUGAGGUGCCCGGUGGCUUCGGCUUUGGGGUUAGGAAUGGAGGAGGCACUUUGCUGCUUGAUUUCGCCAGGGAUUCCGAGCUUCUGAUUGCGAACUCGACAUUUCAGAAGAGGGAGGAGCAUUUGGUCACCUUCAAUAGUUUGGCGGCGAGGACUCAGAUUGAUUACCUCCUCCUCAGAAGGAGCGAUAAGGGUAUGUGCAAGGACUGCAAGGUUAUUCUGGAAGAGUCCUUUUUCGACUCUUCAUAGACACCUGGUGAUGGAUGUCGGUCUCUGGGUGAAGAGGAAGAGGAGGGGUGCUCGGGGACAACCGCGGAUUAAAUGGGGUGUUUUGACUAAGGAGAAAGCAUAGGAGUUGGAGAGGAGGUUAGCUGAGGGCGGAACUUGGAGAAGUUCUGGGGAAGCGGACGCUAUGUGGUCGGAGACGGCGAACUUGGUUAGGGAGGUAGCACGGGAUGUGCUCGGGUAUUUGGUCACCUUCAAAGGUUCGGCGGCGAGGACUCAGAUUGAUUACAUCAUCAUCAGAAGGAGCGAUAGGGGUAUGUGCAAGGACUGCAAGGUUAUUCCGGGAGAGUCUCUUU